rnacentral:rRNA from 1 species
AUUGAACGCUGGCGGCAUGCCUUACACAUGCAAGUCGAACGGUAACAGGUCUUCGGAUGCUGACGAGUGGCGAACGGGUGAGUAAUACAUCGGAACGUGCCUAGUAGUGGGGGAUAACUACUCGAAAGAGUGGCUAAUACCGCAUGAGAUCUACGGAUGAAAGCAGGGGAUCGCAAGACCUUGUGCUACUAGAGCGGCCGAUGGCAGAUUAGGUAGUUGGUGGGAUAAAAGCUUACCAAGCCGACGAUCCGUAGCUGGUCUGAGAGGACGAUCAGCCACACUGGGACUGAGACACGGCCCAGACUCCUACGGGGGGCAGCAGUGGGGAAUUUUGGACAAUGGGCGAAAGCCUGAUCCAGCAAUGCCGCGUGCAGGAUGAAGGCCUUCGGGUUGUAAACUGCUUUUGUACGGAACGAAAAGCCCCGGGUUAAUACCCUGGGGUCAUGACGGUACCGUAAGAAUAAGCACCGGCUAACUACGUGCCAGCAGCCGCAGUAA